UCUGAGUUCAGAACAUCUCUAGAUGUGCA
rnacentral:piRNA from 1 species